rnacentral:rRNA from 1 species
AUUGAACGCUGGCGGCAUGCUUUACACAUGCAAGUCGAACGGUAACAGGCCUUCGGGUGCUGACGAGUGGCGAACGGGUGAGUAAUGCAUCGGAACGUACCCAGAGGUGGGGGAUAACGCAGCGAAAGCUGUGCUAAUACCGCAUGUGAUCUGAGGAUGAAAGCGGGGGACCGAGCAGCAAUGUUUGGCCUCGCGCCUUUGGAGCGGCCGAUGUCGGAUUAGCUAGUUGGUGGGGUAAAGGCCUACCAAGGCGACGAUCCGUAGCUGGUCUGAGAGGACGACCAGCCACACUGGGACUGAGACACGGCCCAGACUCCUACGGGAGGCAGCAUUGGGGAAUUUUGGACAAAGGGCGCAAGCCUGAUCCAGCAAUGCCGCGUGCGGGAAGAAGGCCUUCGGGUUGUAAACCGCUUUUGGCAGGAACGAAACGGUGUCCGCUAAUACCGGGCGCUAAUGACGGUACCUGCAGAAUAAGCACCGGCUAACUACGUG